AUUGAACGCUGGCGGCAGGCCUAACACAUGCAAGUCGAGCGGAUGAAGGGAGCUUGCUCCUGGAUUCAGCGGCGGACGGGUGAGUAAUGCCUAGGAAUCUGCCUGGUAGUGGGGGAUAACGUCCGGAAACGGGCGCUAAUACCGCAUACGUCCUGAGGGAGAAAGUGGGGGAUCUUCGGACCUCACGCUAUCAGAUGAGCCUAGGUCGGAUUAGCUAGUUGGUGGGGUAAAGGCCUACCAAGGCGACGAUCCGUAACUGGUCUGAGAGGAUGAUCAGUCACACUGGAACUGAGACACGGUCCAGACUCCUACGGGGAGCAGCAGUGGGGAAUAUUGGGCAAUGGGCGAAAGCCUGAUCCAGCCAUGCCGCGUGUGUGAAGAAGGUCUUCGGAUUGUAAAGCACUUUAAGUUGGGAGGAAGGGCAGUAAGUUAAUACCUUGCUGUUUUGACGUUACCAACAGAAUAAGCACCGGCUAACUUCGUG
rnacentral:rRNA from 1 species